rnacentral:lncRNA from 1 species
UAAUGCUGCAGUUGUAACCAGAUAAGUAGAUGAAAGAGCGCAGUGGGAUAGACCAAAAUAAAAUAUUCGACCUACCGCCUGGACUAAACUGAAGAAGAUAAGUCCUCUCCAAAAUUUUUUUGAGGAAUUUUCUUAGACAUUUUUGUCUAAACUGAAGGAUAAGACUUUUAUUCAAAUAUCAUUAUACUUUCGUACAGUUUGAGAGGAGCAGUUUAGCAAAAUGUCAUUGACGCCUGUGAUGAUGUUUAGGAUGUUCUGAGUUUUGUUGUAGAACGGUAAAUUCUGAACGCUUACACACAACAAACUUUAAUACUUAUUGCUACCUAGUGCUGAUCACUCUCAUGGAUGGGGCACAUAAUAAUAUUCAAAUAAUCAAAGAUAUGGCGCCUUAACGAUUUUAAGCACUGUUGUCAGAUCCUAUGAAUCAGUUGUCCGUAAAGCUAAAAAACGCAUCAAUUCAUUGAACGAUUCAACACUAACAUUGUUUUAAAUGGUUCAUUUUCUCUUUAAUUUUUCUUUUAAAAUUCACUUCCAUGUUGAUACUCAAGUCUCCAAGUAUAUUACUGAAUACGCGUGGCGAGUACACUUGGCAACAAUGGCAAUAUUCCCUAUUGUUUAUUUAGAAUAAUCUUUGUUUACAUUAUCACGCAUGUUUCGUUCUGUCGGCAGUCGGCAACCAAUCUUGUGCCAUUUUCGUAGUAUUUUCCGAGGAAUUUUUGCAUUUACACUCAGAUUUUAAUCCAAUUUGACUAGUAUUUGUUGAGUAGGGAAUUAUUCCCUAAAAUAUUUCAUGAUUUGUACCAUCAAGUACCAUCUAGUAUUGAUUCACCCAGGUUACCGGAUGGACAUCAUGUCCUCUUCAUUCUCCUCCCAUCUUCAUUAACCAUUUAAUCCAAUGGCGGUUCCAGUCAUGGCAAUGACUAAAGUGGGAAUUUCAGAAGCUAGUCAGUUGUAUCCUAAACCUGUGAUACUUGAGAACAUUGCGAUGAAAAAGCCUAAUCUCUCAUUCCUUGGAAAUCUUCUAACUCCAAAAAUCAUUCUGGAACGGAUCAACAACAGACAAAAUUUCUGUAUUGUAUCUGGUAAGCAUACUAAGCUAAGAAAAUAUGAUGUAACAGAAAUUGAAGAAAGCUUUGAAGAUCAAAGUUUGAAUAAAGAUAUUCCUAGAUUACCAUCAAAUGCUGAGCAAGAAAAAAUCAACCAUGUAGACUACACAGUCAAUGUUACAGUUGACACAAGGAAUAAAGAAACAGAAGAAGCUAAGAUGACUAUUCUCACAGUUCAUGGUGAAAAUGCGUCUCUCAGGGAAGUGAUUUUGGAAAGUAAGUCUAGUCCUGAUACUGCCCCAGGCUCUUCAGGAGCCAUUACUUCUCCACAGAAUGGUUUGUGUAUGGAGGUAGAAGAAAUUGGAGGUGAUAGUGAUGUAGGCCACUUUUCAUCAUUGACUAAAGAUACAUUUUUUAGUCUUGAAAAGGAAAAGUGACAGUUGAUAAUAAGUCCCUGACUGAAAGUGAACAUUGCGUUAAUGAUUCGCCUCCUACAAGUGGCAUCAUCAAAUCAAGCCGCAAGAGAGGUUUAAGAAGGCUGGAAAAGCAGUCCUACCGUUUCCAGU